GGCUGAGCUGGGCUGAAAGAGAUAAGAGAUGAGUGACAGGAAGGCCCAUGGACAACCUCAUGGUCCCAUACUGGCCUUCUGACCUUCUUGACAGCUACCAUUCCUGCCCCACCCCUUCCUCCCUUUCCUGUCCUCAGCAUGUCUAAUGUCCCUUGGAAGAAGGUCCCUAGCUUACACCGACUGAAACUAUACAUGUUAACACUUCCAUAAAUAUGUGUACACAGGGCUGCUCCCAUUGUCAGCCACUUAGAGACACUGACAUGGCCCACGCCACACAAUACGCUCACACACACACACAGACUUGCACAGAAAUACUGUCAUCACCAGACCCACAGAGACAUCCUGACACGCAGACCCUCACAGUCACACUGUUAUGCCUCACACACUGUCACACAGUAGUUCUUGUUCAGCUUUCCAAAAUGUGUAUGGAUCUACUUCUGUGCCCAGUGCAUAUGCUGUCGUGCUGUCUCAAAGGUCACCCGAGUGCUGCACAACCCCAUGUGUUUCCUCAGCACACGCUGUCACGGGCACACCUCCACGUCUGCUCACACAGUCACCCGUGCCUGGCCUCUUGCAGGCAUCUGGAGUCACGCACAUCGUCUCAUACAGCCUCAUCCCUACUGCCCGCUGCACACCAGCUCUCACCACGACGUGUGGCUGCAUGUGCUGUCUCAUACAACCUGGACGCCGUCACACGCGGUGUCACAUAUUCUGUCACAAUCGUGAAGCGUUGCGUGCCAUCUCACAUGGUCAUACACGGCAGCCACACACUGUCAUCAAAGAAUCACGGACACUGAUACACAACCCCCCACCACUGUCCUUUAUUUAGUCCCACACAGACUCACACAUUCAGUUUCAGGACUCUGGUGGUUUUAUUUUACAAAAGCUUUGAAUGUCCAUGCCAAGGCUUGUCUGGGGCCCAGAGGGUUGGGUUGGACAGACAUCUGGCUACAAGAGGGGAGGGACACCAACCCCUGCCCUGAGGCCAUGGUCUGUGCCCUCAUGAGCUGAGUGGGGCCACCACAGUGGUGGUGGUGGGAGGCAUGGGGCCUGUGGGGAAGGAGCCUGUGGGUGAGCCCAACAGGGGCCCUGGGAAAGGCAUGAGGUGGCUAACAGGCCCUGACAGCACCACGGGGCCCAGGCCUUGGUAGAGGUGGGCAGUGCCAGGUGGGCCCAAUGUCAAGCCUGAGGCCACCUCCCCACAAUUCCCACUACUGCUGCCCCCAGCCACCACCAUGAAGCUGCCAGCUGGCCCUUCAGCUGCUCCUGUACCUCCUAGACUCGAUCCCCGUUUCUUUUUUCCUUUUCCAGAUGCCUUGCGGUUUCGAGUCUGGAUACCAUCCUUCCGCAUGGUCAGUGGUCGGUUCACCUGCCAAGAGGGAGGCCAUGGGUGUUUCCCAACUCCACAUCUUGCCUCUGUGUCUCCUCCAGGGAUGCUCUCUCCACCCCACUUCUUAAGAAUAGGGAAUUGGUUCAAGGACUAGGGAGUGCGCCCCUGGUGUGGCACAGAAUGGCAGCUCCACAAACAUAGAUGUGCUUAUCUCUUCUGUUCAACACUGUGUCUCCAAUGCCUGGAACAGGGCCAAGCACGCAGUAGGUGCUCAAUCAGCUUUCUCAAAAGAGGAUGGAAGUCUGACUCACCGCGAGGUGCUGGACCAUUUCCUUCAAAGGCUGUGAUCAAGCAUAUAUCCAGGGAGCCAGGGACUGGAUGAUGCACCCACCCUCCACUACUGCAGCUCUUAGGACUUUUCUUGAUCCUAGAUAUACUGAAAUUUCACUCAAGUGUGUCCAAAUAACGGGGGUUGAGGCUUCAUAUGCCUCACUAUCAUUGUUGGGCCACGCAAGACCCUUCUCUAGUUUUAUUUGUAUGUUUAAUCUUUUUAUCUCCAUUCUUCAUUCCU